rnacentral:rRNA from 1 species
GAGUUUGAUCCUGGCUCAGGAUGAACGCUGGCGGCGUGCCUAAUACAUGCAAGUCGAGCGAACGGACGAGAAGCUUGCUUCUCUGAUGUUAGCGGCGGACGGGUGAGUAACACGUGGAUAACCUACCUAUAAGACUGGGAUAACUUCGGGAAACCGGAGCUAAUACCGGAUAAUAUUUUGAACCGCAUGGUUCAAAAGUGAAAGACGGUCUUGCUGUCACUUAUAGAUGGAUCCGCGCUGCAUUAGCUAGUUGGUAAGGUAACGGCUUACCAAGGCAACGAUGCAUAGCCGACCUGAGAGGGUGAUCGGCCACACUGGAACUGAGACACGGUCCAGACUCCUACGGGAGGCAGCAGUAGGGAAUCUUCCGCAAUGGGCGAAAGCCUGACGGAGCAACGCCGCGUGAGUGAUGAAGGUCUUCGGAUCGUAAAACUCUGUUAUUAGGGAAGAACAUAUGUGUAAGUAACUGUGCACAUCUUGACGGUACCUAAUCAGAAAGCCACGGCUAACUACGUGCCAGCAGCCGCGGUAAUACGUAGGUGGCAAGCGUUAUCCGGAAUUAUUGGGCGUAAAGCGCGCGUAGGCGGUUUUUUAAGUCUGAUGUGAAAGCCCACGGCUCAACCGUGGAGGGUCAUUGGAAACUGGAAAACUUGAGUGCAGAAGAGGAAAGUGGAAUUCCAUGUGUAGCGGUGAAAUGCGCAGAGAUAUGGAGGAACACCAGUGGCGAAGGCGACUUUCUGGUCUGUAACUGACGCUGAUGUGCGAAAGCGUGGGGAUCAAACAGGAUUAGAUACCCUGGUAGUCCACGCCGUAAACGAUGAGUGCUAAGUGUUAGGGGGUUUCCGCCCCCUUAGUGCUGCAGCUAACGCAUUAAGCACUCCGCCUGGGGAGUACGACCGCAAGGUUGAAACUCAAAGGAAUUGACGGGGACCCGCACAAGCGGUGGAGCAUGUGGUUUAAUUCGAAGCAACGCGAAGAACCUUACCAAAUCUUGACAUCCUUUGACAACUCUAGAGAUAGAGCCUUCCCCUUCGGGGGACAAAGUGACAGGUGGUGCAUGGUUGUCGUCAGCUCGUGUCGUGAGAUGUUGGGUUAAGUCCCGCAACGAGCGCAACCCUUAAGCUUAGUUGCCAUCAUUAAGUUGGGCACUCUAAGUUGACUGCCGGUGACAAACCGGAGGAAGGUGGGGAUGACGUCAAAUCAUCAUGCCCCUUAUGAUUUGGGCUACACACGUGCUACAAUGGACAAUACAAAGGGCAGCGAAACCGCGAGGUCAAGCAAAUCCCAUAAAGUUGUUCUCAGUUCGGAUUGUAGUCUGCAACUCGACUACAUGAAGCUGGAAUCGCUAGUAAUCGUAGAUCAGCAUGCUACGGUGAAUACGUUCCCGGGUCUUGUACACACCGCCCGUCACACCACGAGAGUUUGUAACACCCGAAGCCGGUGGAGUAACCUUUUAGGAGCUAGCCGUCGAAGGUGGGACAAAUGAUUGGGGUGAAGUCGUAACAAGGUAGCCGUAUCGGAAGGUGCGGCUGGAUCACC